GACGGAGGAUGCAAGCGUUAUCCGGAAUGAUUGGGCGUAAAGCGUCCGCAGGUGGCAGUUCAAGUCUGCUGUCAAAGACCGGGGCUUAACUUCGGAAAAGCAGUGGAAACUGAACAGCUAGAGUAUGGUAGGGGCAGAGGGAAUUCCUGGUGUAGCGGUGAAAUGCGUAGAUAUCAGGAGGAACACCGAUAGCGAAGGCAGCUCGCUGGGACGGUACUGACGCUGAGGUGCGAAAGCGUGGGGAGCGAACGGG
rnacentral:rRNA from 1 species